AGCUCUUCAAGUGGUCGGGAUAAUUAUUGGGCUUAAAGUGUCCGUAGCCGGUUUAGUAAGUUCCUGGUAAAAUCGGGUAGCUUAACUAUCUGUAUGCUAGGAAUACUGCUAAACUAGAGGGCGGGAGAGGUCUGAGGUACUACAGGGGUAGGGGUGAAAUCUUAUAAUCCUUGUAGGACCACCAGUGGCGAAGGCGUCAGACUGGAACGUGCCUGACGGUGAGGGACGAAAGCCAGGGGAGCGAACCGGAUUAGAUACCCGGGUAGUCCUGGCCGUAAACGAUGCAUACUAGGUGAUGGCAUGGCCAUGAGCCGUGUCAGUGCCGUAGGGAAACCGUUAAGUGUGCCGCCUGGGAAGUACGGUCGCAAGGCUAA
rnacentral:rRNA from 1 species